AAAGAUAGAGCUUCUUCAUCUCCACCGACUUUCUCUCCUCUUCUGCCUAGCUGAUCUAUUCAACAUGGUAUCAAAGCUUUCAGGCGAGAUCAAUUUGCUCAGCAUCAUCGGAAGAGAAAUCUCACUAAGAUCAUCUCACUGGUUGAUUUUUCCUUUUACUCUGUUUCUUCGCUGGCUCUAUCAAAUUCCUUGCAAUUAGGGCUUGAUUGGUCGGCGUUAAUUUUUAGUGUAAUUUUGUGAGCCGUGAAUUAAGUAAACUCAAAUAGUGUGGUGCGACUCAAUCAAUAUUGAUUGCAAUGGUGAAUGACGGGAGAAUCUCUAUUUCAUUAGCUCCUCUAGUUCCGACUGCAGCUCAG
rnacentral:lncRNA from 1 species